GAAAGCCUGAUGCAGCCAUGCCGCGUGUAUGAAGAAGGCCUUCGGGUUGUAAAGUACUUUCAGUUGUGAGGAAGGGGGUAACGUUAAUAGCGUUAUCUCUUGACGUUAGCAACAGAAGAAGCACCGGCUAACUCCGUGCCAGCAGCCGCGGUAAUACGGAGGGUGCGAGCGUUAAUCGGAAUUACUGGGCGUAAAGCGCAUGCAGGUGGUUCAUUAAGUCAGAUGUGAAAGCCCGGGGCUCAACCUCGGAACUGCAUUUGAAACUGGUGAACUAGAGUACUGUAGAGGGGGGUAGAAUUUCAGGUGUAGCGGUGAAAUGCGUAGAGAUCUGAAGGAAUACCAGUGGCGAAGGCGGCCCCCUGGACAGAUACUGACACUCAGAUGCGAAAGCGUGGGGAGCAAACAGGAUUAGAUACCCUGGUAGUCCACGCCGUAAACGAUGUCUACUUGGAGGUUGUGGCCUUGAGCCGUGGCUUUCGGAGCUAACGCGUUAAGUAGACCGCCUGGGGAGUACGGUCGCAAGAUUAAAACUCAAAUGAAUUGACGGGGGCCCGCACAAGCGGUGGAGCAUGUGGUUUAAUUCGAUGCAACGCGAAGAACCUUACCUACUCUUGACAUCCAGAGAAGCCAGCGGAGACGCAGGUGUGCCUUCGGGAGCUCUGAGACAGGUGCUGCAUGGCUGUCGUCAGCUCGUGUUGUGAAAUGUUGGGUUAAGUCCCGCAACGAGCGCAACCCUUAUCCUUGUUUGCCAGCGAGUAAUGUCGGGAACUCCAGGGAGACUGCCGGUGAUAAACCGGAGGAAGGUGGGGACGACGUCAAGUCAUCAUGGCCCUUACGAGUAGGGCUACACACGUGCUACAAUGGCGCAUACAGAGGGCAGCAAGCCAGCGAUGGUGAGCGAAUCCCAAAAAGUGCGUCGUAGUCCGGAUUGGAGUCUGCAACUCGACUCCAUGAAGUCGGAAUCGCUAGUAAUCGUAGAUCAGAAUGCUACGGUGAAUACGUUCCCGGGCCUUGUACACACCGCCCGUCACACCAUGGGAGUGGGCUGCAAAAGAAGUGGGUAGUUUAACCUUUCGGGGAGGACGCUCAC
rnacentral:rRNA from 1 species